rnacentral:rRNA from 1 species
ACGGGGUGCAGCAGGCGCGAAACUCCACACUGGGGGAACCCCGAUGAGGGAAAUCCUAGUGCUAGGACAUUUGUUCUAGCUUUUCUCAAGCGUAGAUAACUUGAGGAAUAAGGGCUGGGUAAGACGGGUGCCAGCCGCCGCGGUAAUACCUGCAGCCCAAGUGGUGGUCGAUUUUAUUGAGUCUAAAACGUUCGUAGCCGGUUUGGUAAAUCUUUGGGUAAAUCGGGAGGCUCAACUUUCCGACUUCCGAAGAGACUGCCAAACUUGGGACCGGGAGAGGCUAGAGGUACUUCUGGGGUAGGGGUAAAAUCCUGUAAUCCUAGAAGGACCACCGGUGGCGAAGGCGUCUAGCUAGAACGGAUCCGACGGUGAGGGACGAAGCCCUGGGUCGCAAACGGGAUUAGAUACCCCGGUAGUCCAGGGUGUAAACGCUGCCGACUUGGUGUUGGAGGCCCUUCGGGGGCAUUCAGUGCCGGAGAGAAGUUGUUAAGUCGGCUACUUGGGGAGUACGUCCGCAAGGAUAAAACUUAAAGGAAUUGGCGGGGGAGCAC